rnacentral:misc_RNA from 1 species
AAAUAAUGCUACAUCUUCAUAAUUAGGGAGCGUGGCUGACAAUCCCACCAAGCGGAUAUGCUCCUUAGUGGUCUCAAUUUGCCUCACAGUUCUGGCGACAAUGCUUUCAAGCACGGGACCUCUGUUAUCAUGAAGAAGAUGAAUCUCAUCAAUAAUCAAAAGCUUUACAAGUUGUGUGUAUGUGCGAUCACCUGACUUCCUA